GAUGAACGCUGGCGGCGUGCCUAAUACAUGCAAGUCGAGCGAACGGACGAGAAUCUUGCUUCUCUGAUGUUAGCGGCGGACGGGUGAGUAACACGUGGAUAACCUACCUAUAAGACUGGGAUAACUUCGGGAAACCGGAGCUAAUACCGGAUAAUAUUUUGAACCGCAUGGUUCAAAAGUGAAAGACGGUCUUGCUGUAACUUAUAGAUGGAUCCGCGCUGCAUUAGCUAGUUGGUAAGGUAACGGCUUACCAAGGCAACGAUGCAUAGCCGACCUGAGAGGGUGACCGGCCACCCUGGAACUGAGCCACGGUCCAGACUCCUACGGGAGGCAGCAGAAGGGAAUCUUCCGCAAUGGGCGAAAGCCUGACGGAGCAACGCCGCGUGAGUGAUGAAGGUCUUCGGAUCGUAAAACUCUGUUAUUAGGGAAGAACAUAUGUGUAAGUAACUGUGCACAUCUUGACGGUACCUAAUCAGAAAGCCACGGCUAACUACGUG
rnacentral:rRNA from 1 species